AGAUGCAGUACACUGGUGCUGGUAUGAAUCCGGCACGCUCGUUCGGACCUGCUUUCGUUACGGAAUCUUGGACAAACCAUUGGGUGUACUGGGUGGGACCGUGCGUAGGCGGUGUUGCUGCGGGUAUCGUCUACCAGUACUUCAGACCAGAAGAGCCUGUCGAUGCAUCGGAGAGUAGGGCUUCUCCAGGCCAAGCUUCUGGUGUGGCCUCGGGGGUAGCGGAACGGAAUGUAUAAGCACGGACCAAAAAUGUAAUGCUCUUGACAACAUGGCAUUGUCCAGUUUCUGCCUGAACUACGUGGACGAGUGUGUAAACGUAAUUAAGCCUGAUGUUAAGAGAAUGCAUACUAGAACUCGCCUAUUUCGCUAGGCGUGGCAAGGACAUACAAUGGAUGUAAAAUUUUAAUGUGAAACAUUUACAAUGUACUGAGAUUUUAUGCUCCAGUGUACUUUUAAAUGUUGCCCACGUUCAAUAAAUACAGCAUGUCGAAAACUAG